rnacentral:tRNA from 1 species
GUAAACAUAACCAAAAGGUUUAAGGAUAAAAAUUGUGAAUUUUUAAUGUGUGAGUUCGAGUCUCUCUGUUUACC